rnacentral:rRNA from 1 species
UUUCAAAUAGAUCAGGAUCACUGGAUGGCUGAAAUGUAGUCGGUUAAUCUCUAUAUAUAUCGAUAUGUAUAGUGGGAUCGUAUUAAAUAAAGAGUAUGUUAUUAUUUUAGAUUUAACCAAUUUGAUGAAUUACUCCUAAAGGUUGACAUCAAACUAGUGCUAGUUCACCUCAAACUAGUGCUAGUUGAUGAGAGUUACUUCGGAAACAAAAAAGUAGUCAAAUUUCUAAGGGAUUAUUAUCUCAAUUCCAAUAAAAUGCAAUUGGGUAAAGUAUGACUUGGCGAUCAAAACAUAUAUGGAUAGAACUUAUAACGGUGUCUCGAAAAAUAAGUAAUUUCUGCUGAGCCUUUAUCCUUUUUUUAGGUUCAUUAGGCUUCUUAUUAGUUGGAACUUCCAGUUAUCUUGGUAGAAAUUUGAUAUCUUUUUUUCCGCCUCAGCAAAUCAUUUUUUUUUCCAUAAGGAAUCGUGAUUUCUUUCUACGGAACUGCGGGUCUCUUUAUUAGCUCUUAUUUGUGGUGCACAAUUUCCUGGAAUGUAGGUAUGGUUAUGAUCGAUUCGAUAUAAAGGAAGGAAUAGUCUGUAUUUUUCAUUGGGGAUUUCCGAAAAAAAAUCAUCGCAUAUUCCUCCGAUUCCUUAUAAAGAUAUUCAGUCCGUUAGAAUAGAAAUUAAAGAGGGUAUUUAUGCUCGUCAUGUUCUUUAUAUGGACAUACGAGGCCAGGGGUCCAUUCCCUUAACCCGUACUGAUGAGAAUUUAACUCCACGAGAAAUUGAACAAAAGGCUGCUGAAUUAGCCUAUUUCUUGUGUGUACCAAUUGAAGUAUUUUGAGAAAUUGAGAAUAAGAACGUUCAUUCAAUUAAAGAAAACGUAUAUGAAAGAACCAUAAAACAGAACUCUUUUUAUGGUCUUUAUGCGUAUGUAAACCUACGCAAUUCAAUAACAAAUAACAAAUCAAAAUAAUAGAUUCAUCUCAGAUGGUAAACCAUUUUGAAAUCAAGAAAUUUUUUUUAGUUCAAUAUUUGUUGGAAUUGACACUUUAGAUCCAGAUAGAUCAUUUCUUGUAAAUUGAAAAUUCUUUCUUUUGUAUUCUUUAAUGACCAACAAUUGGAUGUCUUAAUUAAAUAAUGAGAACUAGCCAAUUUAUCUUUUGCCAGUCAUUUUUUUUUUAUCAUCGUAAUAUCUUUUCCUCAAUUAUUCUAUUCCUGACUAUGGGUAAUUAGUGAAAUUUUUUCGAAAUAUUGGAUAUUUUGAUAGCAAGGGAGUUCUUUCUUCUCAAAAUCUGAUAAAUAUUCAUUACUUAAAGUGGUUCUUACAACUAUAAAUGAAGAAGAUAAUGAGAUAAAUUUAUAGUAUUCAUCUUUAAGUAAUGAAUACUAGGUAUGGCCUUAAAAUUAAAAAAGAGGGGUCAAAGUCGGCUAGUGAGAUGAUGGGGGAUAAGCUUCAUCGUCGAGAGGGAAACAACCCGAAUCACCAGCUAAGGCCCUUAAAUGGCCGCUCAGUGAUAAAGGAGGUAGGGGUAUGGAGACAGCCAGGAGGUUUACCUAGAGCCAGCCACCCUUAAAAGAGUUCGUAAUAGCUCACUGAUUGAGCUCUCUUGCGCUGAAGAUGAACGGGGCUAAGUGAUUUGCCAAAGUUGUGGGGUGUAAAAAUACAUCGGUAAGGGAGCGUUCCGCCUUAGAGGGAAUCCUCCGCGUGAGCGGUGGUGGACGAAGCAGAAGCGAGAAUGUCGGAUUGAGUAACGUAAACAUUGGUGAGAAUCUAAUGCCCCGAAAACCUAAGGGUUCCUCCGCAAAGUUCGUCCAUGGAGGGUGAAUACUAGGUUUACCUACAACUAUGAACCCUUUAAGUUGCCUGACGUAAGAACCACAGACCACAACACAUACAAGAACCUUUCAUACCUACUUCAUUUAGUUAGGAAUUUUUGUAGUUUCCCUAUUUAAUAGUUCAAUUACAACUAUGAAUACUAGGUUUGCCUGUUAUUGCCUCUUCGUUUUAACUACUAUUCCCUGGGAUUGGAUUUGGGCCUUUCCUGCGCAGCUUAGGUGGAAGGCAUAGAAGCCCUCCUUCCGGGGGGCCUGGGCUAUCAGUGAGAUACCACUCUGGAAGGGCUAGAAUUCUAACCUUGUGUCAGGACGUACGGGCCAAAGGACAGUCUCAGGUAGAUAGUUUCUAUGGGGAAUAGGCCUCCCAAAAGGUAACGGAGGCGUGAAAAGGUUUCCUCGGGCCAGACGGAGAUUAGCCCUCAAGUGCAAAGGCAAAAGGGAGCUUAACUGCAAGACCCACCCAUCGAGCAGGGAUGAAAGUCCGCCUUAGUUAUCCGACAGUGCCGAGUGGAAGGGCCGUCGCUCAACGUAUAAAAGUUACUCUAGGGAUAACAGGCUGAUCUUCCCUAAGAGCUCACAUCGACGGGAAGGUUUGGAACCUCGAUGUCGGCUCUUUGCCACCUGGGGCUGUAGUAUGUUCCAAGGGUUGGGCUGUUCGCCCAUUAAAGCGGUACGUGAGCUGGGUUUAGAAUGUCGUGAGACAGUUUGGUCCAUAUCUGGUGUGGGCGUUAGAGCAUUGAGAGGACCUUUCCCUAGACGAGAGGACCGGGAAGGACGCACCUCUGGUGUACCAGUUAUCGUGCCCACGGUAAACGCUGGGUAGCCAAGUGCGGAGCGAAUAACUGCUAAAAGCAUCUAAGUACUAAGACCACCCCAAGAUGAGUGCUCUCCUAUUACGACUAGCCCAGAGCUUUCGGUAGCAUAACCGAGACAGUGACGGGUUCUCUGCCCCUGCGGGGAUGGAGCGACAAAAGUUUUUUUGAGAAUUCAAGAGAAGGUCACGGCGAGACGAGCCGUUUAUCAUUACGAUAGGUAUCAAGUGGAAGUGCAGUGAUGUAUGCAGCUGAGGCAUCCUAACAGACCGGUAGACUUGAAC